rnacentral:rRNA from 1 species
UACAGAGGGUGCAAGCGUUGUUCGGAAUUAUUGGGCGUAAAGGGCGCGUAGGCGGUGCGGUAAGUCUGUAGUGAAAUCUCUGAGCUCAACUCAGAGUCUGCUGCAGAAACUGCCGUGCUUGAGUGUGGGAGAGGUGAGUGGAAUUCCCGGUGUAGCGGUGAAGUGCGUAGAUAUCGGGAGGAACACCUGUGGCGAAAGCGGCUCACUGGACCACAACUGACGCUGAGGCGCGAAAGCUAGGGGAGCAAACAGG